AUUGAACGCUGGCGGCAGGCUUAACACAUGCAAGUCGAGCGGAGAUGAGGUGCUUGCACCUUAUCUUAGCGGCGGACGGGUGAGUAAUGCUUAGGAAUCGGCCUAUUAGCGGGGGACAACAUUCCGAAAGGAAUGCUAAUACCGCAUACGCCCUACGGGGGAACGCAGGGGACCUUCGGACCUUGCGCUAAUAGAUGAGACUAAGUCGGAUUAGCCAGUUGGUGGGGUAAAGGCCUAACAAGGCGACGAUCUGUAGCGGGUCUGAGAGGAUGAUCCGCCACACUGGGACUGGGACACGGCCCAGACUCCUACGUGAGGCAGCAGUGGGGAAUAUUGGACAAUGGGCGGAAGCCUGAUCCAGCCAUGCCGCGUGUGUGAAGAAGGCCUUUUGGUUGUAAAGCACUUUAAGCGAGGAGGAGGCUACCUGGAUUAAUACUCUAGGAUAGUGGACGUUACUCGCAGAAUAAGCACCGACUAACUCUGUGCCAGCCGCCGCAGUAACAC
rnacentral:rRNA from 1 species